GGUGGGUAAGAGGUCAAUGAUAGGUACCGUGGAGGUAAAUGAUAGGUAAGGUCAAGGGUGGAUAGGAAGGUUAGGUAGAGGUCAAGGGUGGAUAGGAAGAUUUGUCAAGGCAAUGGGGAGGUCAAUGACAGUAAGGGAGGUGGGUAAGAGGUCAAUGAUAGGUAAGGUCAAGGGUGUAUAGGUAAGGUCAAGGGUGGAUAUGUAAGGUCAAGGGUGGUGAGGUAGAGGUCAGGUAAGGUUUGUUGAGGAAGUGGGGAGGUCAAUGACAGUAAGGGAGGUGGGUAUGAGGUCAAUGAUAGGUAAGGUCAAGGGUGGAUAGGAAGGUUAGUCAAGGCAGUGGGGAGGUCAGCGGCAGUAAGGGAGGUGGGUAAGAGGUCAAUGACAGUAAGGGAGGUGGGUAGGAGGUCAAUGACGGUAAGGGAGGUGGGUAGGAGGUCAAUGAUAGGUAAGGUCAAGGGUGGAUAGGAAGGUUAGUCAAGGCAGUGGGGAGGUCAGCGGCAGUAAGGGAGGCAGGUAAGAGGUCUCCGUGGGCGCGGGAGGAGUGGCCCUGGAGGAGUGCCCGGGCGUGGCGGCACCGAGGAGGCCCCGCGAGAGGCGCCACGACCCGCCAGUGGACACCCGCCUCCUCCUCCUCCUCCUCCGCCUUCAGUAUCACUCCGCCGUUAUCUAGUGCCUCGCCCUGCUCGCUCCCUCCGCCUCGUUUCCCCCCCUGCACCGCGCCCUCAGGAGACAGCCACGCCCGCCCACUUGCUCCACUCGCCUGAUGUCACAGAGCCGCGAACCACCGUGUUUUAUCGCCGCCCGAUCCAAUAGUUUCCUUUGUUUGAGGCGAGUCGCUGCGGUAAUGGCGGCGCUGCGUCCCCCCGCCCGUGACGUCACGCCCGCCCCCCCUCAGCCACGCGCGCCAAAUUUUAAAUCCUGUUUCUUCCACACUCACAGGGUUAAUUUUCACCAAGAAGAAAGAAAGGGAAAAUUAACACCCAGAAAGUGAAGAGCUGCAUCAGGGAGUGCCGUUACAAAGGCGAAACUCCCGACCGUCAACUGAACUGAACUGAACUGAAAUGAAGUCUAAAUUAAGAUAUAUAGCCUUCUCUAGAAUCCUUGCCAUGGUUUUCACAGGGUCGUGCCUAGAGGGGUUUGUGGGGAGUUGUAUGAUCCCCUUAUCUGCUAAAAGGUUCACUUUGAGAUAGUCGAUACGAAAAAUAGGGACGAAAAAGUCUCAGUUUUGGUGUUGACAGCAGGAAAAUGCAGCCAGAAUGUCAAUUUUUCAAAACCCCGACCCCCAGCUGAUAAUUUAAUAAUUCUCAUAUAAAAAAAGCUCUUUGUUCAACACUUGCAGGGCUCUUGACUAAAACGACGGCACGCCCGCCCACAGACUCGCCGUGGGAAAUAUUAAUAAAUCCUUUUGUUUAGCACUUAAAAGGUUAUAAUGUUAAAAUGAUCUUUGUUCAGCACUUCCAAGGCUCUAAAGCAGGGCUACUUUUUUUUAUUACAGCUAAGGAGACAGUUCAAGGGCGUAAAUAAAAAAUAAAAAAAAAGCCUGCUACUCACUGCUCCCGAACAGAGGUCAAAGGAGUGAGCAAAGGUCCAGCUAGACAAGUUCAAAGGUGUGCAGAGGGCCAGAUGAACAUUGUAGCUGACCCCAGGCUCCAGUAAGAAAAUAUAAUUAUAAAUAGCAUGAAGGUCCUAGUGAUAGAUUCUUGCAAGGCUGCCAGUUGAGUAGCCCUGCUCUGAAGUAUAAAAAUAUCUUUGUUCAACACUUGCAGAGUUCUCAAGUAUGAAAAUAUUUGUUCAAAACUCAAGAUUUUCAUGUAUAAAAGUAUACAAAUGCAUUGUUUUUAGAGUAUAAAUCAUUUAUUUUUUGUGCUAUUCAGUUAUUAUUUCAAUAGUUUGCAGGUGAUUAUGUAUGCAGAAGGCUUGUAUAUAUUCAUUUUUAUCAUAAUAUUGCAUCAGUAUUAAAAUCUAUCCGUACUAAUAAUUUUCUAGCAUCACUGAAAUAGCUUGAAAAAACUUAUCAGGAUUUCUUACUUAGUUAUUGAUGUAGGAAUCAUUUUUUUUGGUUCAUAUUGCCACUUCAUGUAAGUAAGGGACGCCUUCACUACUACCUCUUACCUGUAUCACUUAAUUAUCACUAAACUAAUCCGUCGUGUCCUGGAGUAAUGUUUUCUUCCCCACCACAGGCUUAACGAGUCGCCAUGGAACGGUGAAUCAUGACUACCUAUGAAUCUAUGGGCUCAGGUUCGAAUCCCAGCCCAGGGAGUCAACAUGCAGCCCACCCAGCUGUUCACCCUCCCUUUUGGACUGGUUGAUAAAUGGGUACCUGAGGAAACCUGUGGAAGGUCAACCCGUCCACUGUGAUAGGCACGGAUUUGGCCUUCACUGGUAGCCUGGUAACAUAUAUUCCUUGGUCUUUCUCUGCCUCUGUGGUGGAUAGUGGAGUGUUUCCCAUGUGGUAUUGGUAUGCUGGAUAUCCCCUCCCAAGGUACAUGACUACAUUUUCUUCAUUGAAUUGUAACAGCCACUUUUUGUUCCAUUCCUGCAGCUUGGUGUCUUCUUGUAGGAAAUCCGCAGUCAAGAGGUUAACUGAGCUAAUCCCAAAUUUCUCACUGGCCAUGU